rnacentral:lncRNA from 1 species
GGAAGGUUGGGAAGGUUUGGGAAGGUUGGGAAGGUUGGGAAGGUUUGGGAAGGUUGGGAAGGUUGGGAAGGUUCAGGAAGGUUUGGAAGGUUCAGGAAGGUUGGCAAGGUUGAGAAGGUUCAGGAAGGUUCCAGAAGGUUCGGGAACAUUCAGGAAGGUUCCGGAAGGUUCAGGAAGGUUCCGGAACGUUCGGGAAGGCUCGGGAAGGUUCAGGAAGGUUCUGGAAGGUUCAGGAAGG